GUCAGAACGCUAGGAAAUCCCCCAGUGAGUUAUGACAGAAGGUGCUGUUCCUUUAAGUCGGAACUUCCUGAGACAAGCGGAGUAGCUACGCGAAAGGAACGGAUUAACAACAACCGCCGCCGUGAGAAUACAAUAUUAUACAUCUUUUGAACAUAGGACUAUCUUGUUGGUAAAAAAAAUAAAUACGGAAAUAAAGGUUGUGUCGAAGGGAUAUCUGAGCUGAUUUGGCUUAUCAACAAUACCAGAACACUGUUGAAUGCCAUUGCGGAAGUAAAUUGUACCUUGUUGACUCGAAGAUAAUUUGGCGACAUCUAGUGGACAGAACGGGGAAAUACCACGCACGUAGGAAGAUGUACGGAACGUCAGGGAUGCCAGAUCUAAUACCCCCGAAUGGAUCUGGUCAGGCUGGUCCGGCCGGUCAGUUCAACACGGGACAUACGCAUAUUCAACAGGGACAUAAUGAGAGACCGAACCCGCAGAGACUAGGGCAUCGGGCGCCCAAACUUGGACAAAUUGGUCGUUCCAAGAAAGUGGAUCUCGGGGAUGAGGAUGUCGAUGACAUCAUGAAUAAUAACAGACAAUUUCCUGUUUCCCUCAACCUCUCACCCAUCUCCUAAACCACAUCACAUGCGCCAAUGAAGAUCUUUGAAGCCAAAACUCAACUGAAUCAAUUUGGCCUGGAUCAAUCGACAUUACAAGUGACCUGACCCUAAAGCUUGGUCUACAAUAUUAUAGCUGAAAAGCUCAUUGUGGCACAACGAGGGAUGGUUCUGCCUGAAUUAGUUCAACACAUGAAUUCUAGGACUCUAUAGACAUUUGCAUCAAAAGCUUGUUUAUUGCAGUUAACUUAUCUGUAAUUAUACUGUGAAUUAAUGUUAUUGAAACCUGUUUUUAUUACCUCCUUAGUGGACUAUUGUCUCUUGAGAAAGUACAGUGUGGCUUGGUUUUUAAGCUUCUGAAGGGCUACAUUUGAAAAGCUGCACUCUAAAUGGUGUUACACAAAUGGACAGAGAGCUGAUCUAGGGUCAAGCCCUUAUUUUUCCAUAUAGUCUUUUUAAUUAUUAUUUAACAGGCAGCCUGAUCCCUGGUCAGCACUCUGAGGUUAUGAAUGCAUUCUUGUUGGUUUCUGAUUAAACAAUGUGGAAGUUGUUGCGAAAGGCAGGAAGAAAGCGUGUUAACCUAUAACAUACAGGUGUAACACUGGGUUACUGACUUAUGACUAAACCAAUAAUCUGUGGUUCUCUCACCUUGAGGAGUGUCCAAUUACUGUUGUAUAAUUACUAUUUUGUAUGCAGGAAAAGUUGAAAAGGUUGUUAUAGAUUUGUAUUUUUUGACAGUUUUUUGGAAGUAUUGAUAUAAUCUAUAGUUUUCUGGUUUGAAGUUAUUGCGUAUGGUGCACUUUGUGGGAAUGACUGUUGAAUAUCAUAGUGCCUGUGGAUCUGUCUGUUCUAUGACCUUUAAAAAAUAUUUAUCUCUCCCUAAAGAGCUAGACACUUCAGUUCAUGUGUGUAUUGUUCCCUUAUGCGCAAUGUACUUAGUUGCUUCUCAUGUCCUCCCCCUCACUUAACUUUUCUUAUGUAAGCCAUCUGCGACUGAAUCUCUCACUUUAAAUGUAGUUUACCCACGAUUCUGUUGAGGUUAUGUAGUGUAUGUCUCUUCCUUGCAUUUCUGAAAAGCAAAAAUAAAACAUUACUGGUAUUUACAGGCUACAACAUUCUAUUGGUGUUUAAAUGGGGUUUUCACCCAUUUUAGACCUUGCCUAAUUCUUCACUGCAUUGUGUGCUGGUAUUGGCUCUCCCAAACUGCUCCUGAUUCUUUUUCAGUCAGAUUCUGCUGAUUCGUCACUAUUGGGGAUUACGUCCCAGCACCGAAAAAAAAGGGUGAACUAUCCCUUUAACUUACCACAUUGUUAAAAUAGAAACAAUGAGCAAUGUUUUGGGAUUUUCAGCAAAAGACUAUUUGUUUUCUAAAGGUCAGAUAUGUUUUCUAAAGGUCAGAUAUGACCCAGAUCCACAGCUUUAAUUAUUUGAUAAAGUGUUUUCUAUUUCUAUGCAUGGAAUCUAUUUAAAACAUCAAAACAUGUCCGUUUUCUUGUCCUGAAGGGCUAAUGUGUUAUAUAAUCACAAUGACUUACAGGUCUUAGAUCAUAUUUUAUUCCCUACAUAGUUCAAUAUGUUUGACCAGAGGCCUACAAUAUAUCCCAAUGCCAAGUAGCGCAGUAUGUAGGGAAUAUGCUGCCAUUUUGGACUUAUUCAUUGUUUCACAGUCAAGUGGACUGUAAGGAGGAUGUUGACAAAUGCCUGUACGCUUACCUAGACUUUUUCAUUGAAUCGUUGCAUUUCACAGCAUAGCUCAUCAAGGUAAGGUGCUGUAGCCAUCACAUGGCUAAUAUUUAUGAAAUUGUUAUAUGCAUUGAGAACUUUUGCAUGAAAAUGGGAUGAGUUUCUUUCAUAAUAAUUUGAUAUUGUGGGCAUAAUUUUGAAUAUUGUGUGGCGAUCACAAUGAUAAUAAAUGUUCAGUUAAAUAAAGACAUGCUCCCUC